GUCGUUGUGUACUAAAACGCUGACGCGACGCACCCGACGAUUUUUGCAUCACAAUGCUGCGUCGAGAAUCAUAGCAACCAAAAGUUUGUUUUGAUUUGUUUAUUUCGUUCCGUUGUUUUGUGUAUUUCACUUGUUGUCACGAAGGAAAUCCCAGUUCAAUUUUCCACGGAAUUUACGAUGCUUGGAGGACGGUUGCGGCCUCACAUAAGCAAAAUUCGCCCUGCAAAAUUUAAACAACAUCAAACGAUACAACAGGGUAUGCUACAUCGUAGGAAUUGACCUCCAGUUAAUUUGCCUACAGAAGCCAAUUGAUUGCGGAAACGAUCUGAAUCGGUCGACAGUUGAAGCUGUGGAACGGCUCAGAUCAGUUCAACUACUGCACGGUGUUGACUAAAAAAUGGAAGUAGCGGUCAGAUUGGGAUAAAUGUUAGAUUAAUGUAAUUUUAAAUGUAAAUAAAGUUAUAAAUGUAUUGGCUUUAAAUAA